rnacentral:snRNA from 1 species
GUACUCACCUGGCAGGGGUGAUACUGUGAUCACAAAAGUGGUUUUCCCAGGGCAAGACUUAUCCUUUGCACUCUGGAUGUGCUGUCCCCUGCGAUUUCCCCGAACAUGGGAAACUCAACUGCAUAAUUGGUGGUAGUGGGGGGCUUAGUUCACACUCCUCCCCUA